rnacentral:rRNA from 1 species
UUCCGGUUGAUCCUGCCGGAGGUUAUUGCUAUCCGAAUUCGACUAAGCCAUGCAAGUCUUGGUGUUCAAUCUUUGGACACUAGGGCAGAAAGCUCAGUAACAUGUAGUUAAUAUGCCCUCAAGUCAGGGAUAAUCUCGGGAAACUGAGGCUAAUACCUGAUAGAUAAGAAUUACUGGAAUGUUCUCUUUUCUAAAGCUUAUGCGCUUGAGGAUUAGACUGCACCGGAUUAGGUUGUUGUUAGGGUAACGUCCUGGCAAGCCAAUAAUCCGUACGAGCCUUGAGAGAGGAAGCUCGGAGAUGGAUUCUGAGACAAGAAUCCAGGCCCUACGGGGCGCAGCAGGCGCGAAACUUUCCCAAUGCACGCAAGUGUGAGGAAGGGAUUCGGAGUGCAUUCCCUUACAUAGGGGAUGCUUUUGUGGAGUGUAAACAGCUCCAAGAAUAAGUGGUGGGUAAGACGGGUGCCAGCCGCCGCGGUAAUACCCGCGCCACGAGUGAUAACCACGUUUAUUGGGCUUAAAGCGUUCGUAGCCGGUCCAAAAAGUCUUUAGUGAAAUCCCAUAGCUAACUAUGGGGCUUGCUAGGGAAACUGUUGGACUUGGGACCGGGAGAGGUCUGGGGUACUUAAGGGGUAGGGGUAAAAUCCUGUAAUCCUUUGGGGACCACCUGUGGCGAAGGCGCCAUACCAGAACGGAUCCGACGGUGAGGGACGAAAGCUAGGGGAGCAAAGGGGAUUAGAUACCCCCGUAGUCCUAGCUGUAAACGAUGCCCACUAGACAUUGGCAAUCUUACGUGGGUUGUCAGUGUCGUAGCGAAAGCGUUAAGUGGGCCGCCUGGGAAGUACGGUCGCAAGGCUGAAACUUAAGGGAAUUGGCGGGGGAGCACACAAGGGGUGGAGGCUGCGGUUUAAUUGGAGUCAACGCCGGG